rnacentral:rRNA from 1 species
AGUGAACGCUGGCGGUAGGCCUAACACAUGCAAGUCGAACGGCAGCACAGUAAGAGCUUGCUCUUACGGGUGGCGAGUGGCGGACGGGUGAGGAAUACAUCGGAAUCUACUUUUUCGUGGGGGAUAACGUAGGGAAACUUACGCUAAUACCGCAUACGACCUACGGGUGAAAGCAGGGGAUCUUCGGACCUUGCGCGAUUGAAUGAGCCGAUGUCGGAUUAGCUAGUUGGCGGGGUAAAGGCCCACCAAGGCGACGAUCCGUAGCUGGUCUGAGAGGAUGGUCGCCCACAUUGGAACUGGGACACGGUCAAUACUCCUACGAGACGCAGCAGUGUGGAAUAUUGGGCAAUGGGCGCAAGCCUGAUCCAGCCAUACCGCGUGUGUUAAGAAGGCCUUCGGGUUGUAAAGCCCUUUUGUUGGGAAAGAAAAGCAUCAGGUUAAUACCCCGCUGUUCUGACGGUACCCAAAGAAUAAGCACCGGCUAACUUCGUG